GCAUUACCGCUUGAGCCACAUCCCCAGCCCUCAGUACAAAUUUUGAUUUUUGGUCUUCAUUAUUGAGUUGUGAACAUUAAGCAGCCGUUCUUUAAUGUGCUUUGACACGUCUAUCAUUUUAAAGAAAGUGUGCAUUUUAAGAGGUCAUGUGCUAUGAGCUUUGGCAGAACACAGCACAUUUCUUGGGGAAAUUUAAUAAAGAUGAACGUCUUUGCAUCUUCACAAUGCAUGUGAUCAUGUCAGUCUGGACUGCUUGUUCACUCACAGGGUUCUGGGUAACUGACCAAAUUUCUUACCUGAAAAAAAAAGAAUUUUUAAUUGCUUUUCAUGUUGGAAAACAACAGAGAAGGUGGCAGAUCCUAAAUUAGAGUCUGGAAGCAGGAAACACAGGAGGACAUUGAGGAGUACAAAGAAGAAAGAAAGUUCUAUGGGAACUAUAUAGAAAUCCUAAAUCUGAAAUCAGGAAGUGUCUCACAGGAGAUGCCUUCCUGGCAAUGGUCCAAGGAGGGGGACACACAGGGAAAGGUAGAGUUUGCUAGUUAAGUCAUUAUCACAGUCUUUUCCACAACCUCUAAUUCCAGUUUUACAUAACAGAAGGACGAUCCAGAAGGUUGUGAUGAAAUAGAAAGUGUGAAGAGAAAUGAAGAACAGGUUCUGAGAAGAAUGAAGUGAGGAAGAGCUAAAGCUGCUAAACAGAUAGGCACAGAGAGGAGGGAAGCGAGCUACUAGUGCAGCCCCUCAACAACUGCAGAAAGGCACCUUGGGAGAUGGGAGCAUCAGAGAAUAGGGGAGCAGCUGGGAAUAAGCAGAUAAAGCAGAGUAUCAGCCAGAAGUAAAACAAAGCUAAAGAGAGGCGACAACAGAGCCAGAGAUGAGAUGUGAAUGGGUUAGAGAGAGAGAGAACAAUGCUGAGGGGCUGGAAAGGAUGACAUUUGGAAUGAGCUUAAAACUAGAUGGAUACUUUAAGAGAGGGAGGGUGGUUGAGUGAAUGGAGCAACUGAAGAGGAUCCAUCAAGGGAAAAGCCAAUAAGAUAGGCAUUGUUGUCAGGCAUGGUGGAGCAUGCCUGUAUUCCCAGUGGCUUGGAGGAUCAAAAUUUCAAGGACAGCCUCAGCAAACAGUGAGACCCUGUGUCAUAAUAAAAAAAUUAAAAAGGGGCCUGGGGACAUAGCUCAGUUGGUAGAAUGCCUGCUUCAUAUGCACAAGGCCCUGAGUUCAAUCCCAGCACCCCCAAAAAAAAUUAAAAAGGGCUGGGGAUAUGACUCAGUGGCAGAGCACCACUGGGUUCUAUCUCCAGUACCAAAGCGGCGUGGGUGGGGGAGACAGAUGGCACUGUGCAAAGCCAUUCUAAUGCUGAUCACCUGCAUUGAGAUGAAAUACCACCAGUUGAGGCCACAGGCCUCACUACACUGCUCACACUUCAUACCGGCUGCAACUCUGGGAUUCCCAGGCCACUCACACCAGUCCCAGAACCAUCCUCAAGUCCAGAUUCACAUGUCUCAGAUCUUAAGUUCAACAAGCCUCAGAUUCAAUUGCUAUUCCUGUCAGCCUGUUCCUCUUCUAGCCUAAUGGAACCACUCUGCAUUGGCCACAAUCACCAAAGCAACAAGCAAGCCAGGCAACACAUGUUCUAAUUUCACAUUUCAUUGCAAGAAAGUCCACAGCCUGCUGCAAGAGGUAUCAGCAAUAGCAUGACUUGAUUGUCCACGAUUCCCAGUUUGGGAACCCUGAAUUUCCUUUCUCCAUAUUAACACAUUCCAGAAGAGGAGAAAUGCCUUCCUGGUAAGGGAUAUAGAGCUUACCUGUAAACUGACUUUUAAUGUGCAUCCUCUGAGCAAACUGUCCCAUUCACAAAAACUCCCACCAGCACUAUAACUGCAUCCUUUACUAUCAUCACCUCUACAGUAAGAUGGUGAUGGUCCCCAUCACAUCCUGAACCAUCAGCAGAAAGCAGGGGCUCCAUAGAGAGGACUUAAUGCAGCUUUGUGCAUACCACCGUUGUCAAUGACGUGUCUACUCCUGGCUUAUCACUUUCCAAUUAGGAGAGCAUAAAACACAAAUUUGAACACUUAUUUGACUCCUAUGGAGUAUUGUAAGCAAAAGUAGAGAAAACACAUGAAUAGAAAAACUGAGCAGGGAUUUACUCGUUUUCUUCUGCUCUUGGAAAACAUGGAAGAUGUGGAAACAGGUGCAGAUCUGGGGAUGGAAAAUGCAAGCACUGGGGCCAGGGCUGUGGCUCAGUGGCCGAGCGCUUCCCUAGCCUUCCCUUCGUGAGGCACUGGGUUUGAUCCCUGGCACCGUAUAAAAAUAAAAGCAAAUAAAUAAAUAUAUUGUGUCCAUCUACAACUAAAAAAAAAAAACCUAUUUUUUAAAAGGACACCUCAUGGGAGGCUGUCCCAUUAGGCCUUCCCCACCUACAUGUUUCUAGCAGUGAACGAAUAAGUGGGAGUCUCAGGGUGAAUGAACUUCAAAUCCAAAUGAAAACAUCUGCCAUCAUUUAAAUGUCAGCUGAAAAAGAAAUUCUGCUCUACAACACUCAUCUGUUUUCUUACUCUUUUAACCACUUAAGAUCAUAAAAUCCAUAGGAUUCUCUGAAUAACGAAUGCAGUCAGCAUGGUUGGACUUUGUAGAAACUUGAGUGGCGCUGCUCAAAGGGGUAUUUUAUUAAGAAACUGUGACUUGAGUGGAAUACAGUGGAAGGCAUGCUGGCCUGGAAGUGCCCACAAACCAGCCGAGACCUUGAUGAAGCCCACGUCAAGCCCAAGAUUCCUCCAUCGAAUGAGGCAAUAAGAGACUUGUCCUCACUACACGGCUUGAUUCUGCAAGGACAGAUCUGAGAGGGAAAGUCAAAGAUCUGAGGUGCUCCUGGAGGUUGACACACCUGGAGACACUGGAGCAUAAGUGGGGGGGGGGGAGGAGUGCAGGCAGAAGUCCCGGCAGUCCCAGUGACUGCUGCCCCCCAUCUGUCUCUCCUGAAGCCACUAAACCCUGCCCUGCCUCGCGCAAUAACCCGCCACGCGGUUCCUGCACUCACUACCUGCACCUCCUGGGAAUGCGCAGCUGUGGCCUUUCAGCUCCCGAGGGGUCAGCGGUGACCGGGUCCCCGCUGCUGAUGGUUGCUGCUCUGGACGGAUCUGGGUGCAGCCGAUUCCGAGGGCCAUUACGGGUCCAGAGGAGAACCGGGACUACGGUUCCUGGGGCCAUUAUUGCUCCCGAGCAGGCCGAGGCGCGGAUGCUUCCAGAGGCCACUGCUGCUCCCAGGCUUCCGACCUCCCCUCGCCAAGCAGGUGUGCUCCAAGGGCCCAGGCCGCGCCUCCCUCCAGGUCCCAGAGUCUCCAGCUCCGGACUCAGCACUGCGGCUUGAGGGUGGACCCGGCGGCUCCGGUGGGUCUUCACUCCUUAGGGAAUGUCGAAAAUGUCUCCGCCUCAUCCAGGGGUUCAGAGGCGCUUUGCUGUGAGCCCCUGGCCGCCGGGAACCGCGCGCUCAUUUGUCUCUAGUCCCUUUCUGCGUUCGGUGGCUGGCCGCGUGUUUGGUCCAGGAGCCAAGGUCCUCUCUUUGCACAGAGCCUCGAGUUGUGACAUGAAGGAGAGAAUGUGUCCUAUUCACUGAACCAAGAUGCUAGAAGAAGUUCCCCCUCAAAGUCUAGGCUAUUCCAGAUGCCCAGCAUUGCUUUCCAAGGAAAGGAAAGAAGACCGAAACCGUGGCUUUUCCAGAUGGCACAACGAACGCGCUUCGACUGCAAAAGAAAAAAAAAAAAAACAGCACACACAAACGAAAAAGAACACCUGUGGCCAUGCCUCACCAAGGUCACGUUUAGGGUUAGCUCAAGAAACUGAGCUUGUCAACUUCAGUAACCGAUUGUUUCUCCCCUUUCUUUGCAAUUCUAGCUCAGUUUGCCAGCCUAAGUGCCAAAGACCAUCAAUGUCCAGGGACACAAUUCUUACCACAGCAAAGGGACCAGAUGCUCAAUGUGGAAAAUCAGAAACUUAACUCUUGUUGCAGUCAUCAGUGGUCCUUAAGAAUGCAGAGGAAAAGAACCAGAAGAUUUCUGUCCAAUGCAUCUUGCCUUAUCUUUUUUUUUUAACACAAAGAAACUUAAUGCUGUAUUUGAAAGCAAACACACACACACACACACACACACACACACAAGGGGACAGACCUUGAGGGACCCCCCUAUGCUUUAUUAAGCAACGGAGGGGCACUUUUUCAGGAGGAAAAUGGCAACUGGUUACAAUGGGGAUCUGAUUUUUAUAGAGUUAAGUGAGACUUAAUCAUACACACUUAAUCAUAGCAGAAUAUGUGGGCUGGGCAGUCAGAGAAAUAGUUGUAGAAUGGGAAAUUGUGAAAGUCCAGAGCCCAUUACUUUUCUUUUCUCCCUGCGGGUUGUUGUUUUCCAUACCCUUCUGUAUUAAUAAAUUCAGUGUGCAGUUUAAUUGGGGUAGUUUCAAAAGUCAUGAUUUUACAAUGAGUAAGUGCAGACUUUAAAAAAAAAAAAACUUCUUGAAGGUUGAGUGUGUCUACAAUGAAAUCGUACUUCUUGGCAGUUGGUAAAUUAUCUACUCUAACAUCUAUCAAAUUUGAAUUCCACUACAUUUAUUUUUUGCCAAAAGAUGAGUCAUAUUUGUUUGAAAUCUGAGACAGUAUGUUGAAUUUUGUACAUCUGUCCAAGUUUAUUUCUGCCAGCCGUGGAAAUCCUUCCGUGGACAUCACAACACUACAUUUAAGGUUAGUGUUGGUGACUUGCAAGUCCCUCAGAACCAAAAUUUUAAGGUUCUGAAUGUAGAUGGGGUGUCAACUAAGAGUUGCCAAAGGAGCCUGCUCUUCUCCCUUAAGACUUCCCCAAGAGUUCCAAAGAACUCACUGGCAAGGGCUCUGGACUGCUUGCUAUCCAAGUGUGACUGGAGGGACUGUAAUGAUUACUUUGGAUAUGAGACCCUACUUUUCUGAGAAACAGAGCACAACUUAUCUAUCACUUUCAUUUGCAGUUCCCAAAAGAUUGCCACAACCAUGUCCAUGCUCAGAUUCUAAUGAUUUUUCCUAUCAAUAUUGGAUAGUAAAGUGAUUUACAAUUCUUUUUAAAUUGAAAGCACCAAUUACCAUUCCUAAUAUUCUUUGUUUUUAACUGAGCUCUUGCAUGACUUAUGUUAUUAUCCUAAAUAAAUGCUUUAAUAAACACAGAA